GACGAACGCUGGCGGCAUGCCUAACACAUGCAAGUCGAACGGAACUUGUUGAAUGAAGUUUUCGGAUGGAUUUUAGCAAGUUUAGUGGCGGACGGGUGAGUAACGCGUGAGCAACCUGCCUUUCAGAGGGGGACAACAGUUGGAAACGACUGCUAAUACCGCAUAACGUAUCGGAACCGCAUGGCUCUGAUACCAAAGAUUUUAUCGCUGAAAGAUGGGCUCGCGUACGAUUAGAUAGUUGGUGAGGUAACGGCUCACCAAGUCGACGAUCGUUAGCCGGACUGAGAGGUUGAACGGCCACAUUGGGACUGAGACACGGCCCAGACUCCUACGGGAGGCAGCAGUGAGGAAUAUUGGGCAAUGGGCGCAAGCCUGACCCAGCAAUGCCGCGUGAAGGAUGAAGGUUUUCGGAUUGUAAACUUCUUUUAAGAGGGACGAUAAUGACGGUACCUCUUGAAUAAGCCACGGCUAACGUACGUAG
rnacentral:rRNA from 1 species